UCCCUGAUGGUCCAGUGUUAAGACUCCGCACUCCCAGUGAGGGGGGCCUGGGUUCUAUCCCUGGUUGGGGAA
rnacentral:tRNA from 1 species